AGAGGAUACCCUUUGUAUGU
rnacentral:miRNA from 3 species